UGAGCUGAUCAUUGUGGAUUUGAACAUCAGAGAGAAAGGCAGUUUAAAUUGUAGCGAGAAAUAGAAUCAUGGGAUACAAAAUAGCUUGUCUGCUUUUAGGCAUUUGCUGUGUUAUGUUCUUGCAAGAAAUGGAAGCAGUAGAUGCGCAGGAUAUGAUUUGUGAAUGUAUGUCGGAGGAUGAUGGACGAGUAUCACGGUGCAUUGACAUCGAGGAUGGAAAGGGAUGCGAUCCGCCUUGCGUAGACAACCAAAAAUGCUGUUGUAAGAAAGAUCAGUAAACAAGAAAUGAACAUACACUGGAGAUAAUGGCAACAUCUGAUGAAUCGGAGAACAAUGUAGACAGUCCUCUUCACGGGGAUUUUUGAAAUGUAUAUGGAAUUUAAAAUAAAACAAAAGUUGCCGUACAUUUGUUGUUUCUUUACUGGACA
rnacentral:lncRNA from 1 species